GGUAUAAUGUGAUGGCAAUUUGUGGACAGUGGACACUCGUUGAACAAGGAACUACAGAAGGAAAUCAAAGUGGAAAAUCCCUUGUUGCAUAAGUGCUGAGUUGAACUAAACCAGUUUCCCAUGAGUCAGGCUGCAUAUAUGACUGAAAAUUCAGAUUUUUCGCACAUGGAAUUGGAUAGUUUACUAUUACAGAGAGGCUUGGUCACUUUUAUUAGUGGGACAGAUAAGCAUGUAUAUGCAGAUUGAUUUUAAAUCCAGUAGAUUGAGAAGAAAAUUUUCAUGCUACUUGAAUUUUGUCUACUGUGCUGAGCAUCAGACCAUCCACUUCACUAUUGGUUUUAGACAGGGUUUAAAGAGGGAAAUUCCCAUUGAAAGCCAACAUGCUGAAGAAUUGUUGGUCCUGUUAUUCAAUUUCGUGCAAUCAAUGAUUCAAUGUCCAGUUACCGAAACACUAGUGGAACAGUUUUUGGUUUGGCUUAUAUCAGGUAGAUUGGGGAGAAGCAAGCAUGAUCCAGGCAGAGCGCAUUUUACUUCAGCAUGCAUUGAUGGAUCCUCUCAAUGAACGAUUUGUUUUCCUUUCAGACAGUUGCAUACCUUUGUACAACUUCAGCUAUACGUACAACUACAUAAUGUCUACGCCAAAUAGCUUUGUUGACAGCUUUGCUGAUACAAAAGAAGGCCGCUACAACCCCAAAAUGGAUCCACUUAUUCCUGUUCAAAGCUGGAGGAAAGGUUCUUAGUGGGCUGUUUUAAACAGAAAGCAUGCAGAUAUUGUUUUGAAGGAUGAAAGAUUAUUUUCUAUGUUUCAGUUGCAUUGCAAG